CCCUUAGAUGUUCUGGGCGGCCCGCGCACUACAAUGGCGUGUGCAGCGAGUGCCGAAGUAGAGUUUUCCGAGGUAUUCUUGCAAUGCUCGUUUUGAUGGGGAUAGACCCUUGCAACUGUUGGUUUUGAACGAGGAAUUCCUUGUAAGCAUGGUUUAUCAUCCGACGCUGAAUGCGUCCCUGCCCUUUGUACACACCGCCCGUCGCUCCUACCGAUGAGUCGUCCGGUGAAGUUCGCAGACCUCGUGAUCGCGGAUCACUGGGGGAAGCAAAAUGAACCUCGCGGUUUAGAGGAAGGAGAAGUCGUAACA
rnacentral:rRNA from 1 species